rnacentral:rRNA from 1 species
UACAGAGGGGGCAAGCGUUGUUCGGAAUUACUGGGCGUAAAGGGCGCGUAGGCGGCCCGCUAAGUCGAACGUGAAAUCCCCGAGCUCAACUCGGGAACUGCGUCCGAUACUGGCGGGCUUGAAUCCGGGAGAGGGAUGCGGAAUUCCAGGUGUAGCGGUGAAAUGCGUAGAUAUCUGGAGGAACACCGGCGGCGAAGGCGGCAUCCUGGGACCGGCAUUGACGCUGAGGCGCGAAAGCUAGGGGGAGCAAACGGG